rnacentral:miRNA from 1 species
UUUUUAGCAUAAGUAUAUCCCAUGUAAUGUUUAGGGUAUACUUAUAUAA